GACCAUGUGGCCUAGUGGAUAAGGCGUCUGACUUUGGACCAGAAGAUUGAGGGUUUGAAUCCCUCCGUGGUUG